UGUGUGUACGCGUGGGCGCUGUGCGGGAAGGCAGCAGGUGAGGAGUGGGUCCCUCCUGGGCAGGAGGAGAGUGUUAUGUGCUGUCAGCCAGGUGAGUCUGUCAUAUUCAUACCCCGGGGCUUGGCUGGCAGCCUGAGCAGCUGGGUGCUGGGAUCAAGCUCCUCUGCCCUUGUGUUAAUCCUGAGCCAUAGAAGUUUCAUCUAGUUCCCUCCCUGGUCAGAUGUCUGUGCAGACGUCCCUCUGUGCCUGAAUUAGGGAACAGAAUUCCUCAUGGGGGUGUCCCCCUGUGGCGAUGUGCAGGCAGGCCCCUGAUGCCUCCUGGCCCAUCUGCCGGGCACUGUCUUUCCAGAACUCCACGCAGGAGAUCUUUGAAGAGCUACAUGAUGGGUUCGACUUCUCUCCCUCCCUAGUCAAGGGGCAGGAGCAGCAGGCCGCCAGCAGCAUCCUGUGCCGGUCUGAGACCUGCUCCAAGCCUCACAAAUCAUCACACUUGCUAGGCUGAUUACACACAAAGAGCAUGGGCGUGGAUUACAGGAUUCUAUACAUUUCUCUGCACCUUGUCAUCUCACAAAACACUUCGAAUCAUAGCAGUUUGUUACGUGCUGUAAAACUGAACUCCACUCAGGAGAUGUUUGAAGAGUUAUGUGUUGGGUUCGACUUCUCUCCCUCCCUAGUCAAGGGGCAGGAGCAGCAGGCCACCAGCAGCAUCCUGUGCCGGUCUGAGGAACCCACCCUGUCCGUGGCUGAGGCCCGCACGAUGCUGACCCUCAAGGCAGGCGCAGUGCAGAAGGUGGUAGGAUGCCUGCAACCAUCUUUCCAUGGCAGAUCCAUCUCCGUCACCACCUUCCCGUGUGUGUACCAGGCCUUCUACCCGACCCCACAGGUCCUGGACCAGCUGCUCCAGAGUGCCCUCUCUCCCAUCUGGGGCCCCCGGCCUCAGGAGAACUCCCAGGAUAUGUGGCAGAUGCUGCGGCACUCCAGGAUCAACCUGACGUUGGCGUAUCUCCAGGACCUCUUGGCCUGGCUCAGUCCUGAAGCACCAGGCCACCCCUCUUCUCCUCCAGGUGGACCUUUUCCAGGCCACUGAGUUGGAGACAGAGGCUCCUGCCCCAGCUCUAGCACUUCUGCCAGGUGCAGAGGCAGAAAAGGGGUCACAUCUGGAGCUGGACGGAACUCCAGUUCUAUUUCUGCCAUCACUUCUAGCGCUGGAGCCGCCAGCAGCGCCCUCAGCUGCUCCAGACCCCGAGCGAGUGCCAUCAGCAGC
rnacentral:lncRNA from 1 species